UGGGUGACCUGGGCAAGCAGAGCCUCCUGGACUGUGGGCAGGAAGACCAAGAAGGAGAGCAUGGGGGCAGCAGGAAGGCCAGCCAUGAUGUUGAUGAAACUGAGAAACAGCAGGUCACUCCGAUGCCAGGGCUUCCUUGUGUUCCUUCUGUCAGCUCUGAGGCACAGUGCCAAUAAGAAAGGCCAGAAGACCAGCAAAAAGAGAAAACACCCAGGGGCCAGAGGAAUUCAGGAACAAGUUUCAAGGCAGAGCUGGAACAACCAGACUUGGCGAUGCAAAUUCCCGACACUGGAUGAGUCAGGGGAAGGGGCAGGACUUGCACGCAGGCCUUGGACAGUUGAUCCCAGACUUUACAGAAAAGAAAAACAGAAGACAACCCCUUGCUGAAGCUGGACAAGAGCAAUUGGAGAGCGAGCAGAAUGGAUUCCCCUGUUGCACAAAAGAACAUCAAAGACACUUCUUCUAGAAGCACAUCUUCAUCCAUAAUUCCUAUGUUGAAAGAAUGAACUACUGAAGGUUGUCAGGGUGCUUUAACUAAUAAGCUUUCAUCCAUAAGACCAUGUUGACCUAAUUGACUUCCUGUUUUUACAUCACAUGGACCAUCUAUUAAUUGCCAUAAAGAAUGCACAUGUGGGUAAUUCUAAACUACACAUUGGCCCACGUCAUGCCUGGGCCUCAACUUUUAUAGUCACCGGGUAGUGCCUACAGAAGAGAACAUUAAACAUCCUUAGGCUAGCUCUUCGUGUGGCAGCCUCCCUAACUUCAACCUCCUCCAUCUCCAAACCACUGCUCCUCUCUCACACAACCGAGCUUUCCGUACUCUCGUUUUCUCUAAAUGCCCAUCAGGCUAACUCCUCCUUCAAGAUUCAGGCCGUGCCUUAUUUCAUCUUAAAAACAGCUUCCAACACCUCUUGCCCAUCUCCAACCCUUCUCCAGUCCCUCUCUGUUCCCCCACUGGCUUGUCCUACAUCUGUUCACAGACCUCAGCACACAGGCUGUCAUGCCUGUCACCCCUGACCAGGACCUUCUCGAGGACUGGCUCCCAGGACUGUAUCCUCAGAAUCAAACAUAUAGUCUAGCCCAAGGCGGAGACAUUCAGGAAGGGUCUGAUGGAUGAAAGAGUCUUAACCAUGCUGUUAGCUGACUUUGGGUAGAUUAAAGCUCCAAACAAAGGAAUUUUUUCAUUAUAAGAAAUCACCUCUCAUGUAACUUCAGGUUCAAUUUCAUUCAAUGCCUGAAGCUGUGUCUGCUAACAUCGUUCUUAGUUUAAACUAUGGUUUCAUAAAUAGUCUGCAGGUCUCUAAUCCAUCAAUUCGUAUUGUCCAGUAAGGCGGGGAUCACCACACCCCAAAGCCACGGAAUCUCAUGCCUUCCACUGGGUCUGGAACACAGCAACUUGGAAAGCAGAGGGGAGAAACGGUUUCUUCCCUUUCCAGCAGACCUUUCUGAGCUUCUGUGUGUUGUUGAAAUGAGAGACACUGAGAGAUGAGACCACAAACCAAAAGUUACACCCUUGGGUCUGAAAGGUUUGGACAGACGCUAGUGUUUCUGGAAGACAAAGAGAAUCCACAAACAUGAGAAUGUAGGGAUGGAUGUUUGCACACAACGGAAGGCACGUUCUAAAAGCACGUUUGCCAACCGCUUAAUUAAAUGUUUCUCAAUA